CCUACGGGAGGCAGCAGUGAGGAAUAUUGGUCAAUGGGCGCGAGCCUGAACCAGCCAAGUCGCGUGAGGGAAGACGGCCCUACGGGUUGUAAACCUCUUUUGCCGGGGAGCAACGGGCGCCACGUGUGGCGCCCCUGAGAGUACCCGGAGAAAAAGCAUCGGCUAACUCCGUGCCAGCAGCCGCGGUAAUACGGAGGAUGCGAGGGUUAUCCGGUUUUAUUGGGUUUAAAGGGUGCGUAGGCGGAGCGUUAAGUCAGUGGUCAAAUUGAGGGGCUCAACCCCUUCCCGCCAUUGAAACUGGCUCUCUUGAGUGGAAGAGAAGUAUGCGGAAUGCGUGGUGUAGCGGUGAAAUGCAUAGAUAUCACGCAGAACCCCGAUUGCGAAGGCAGCAUGCCGGCUUCCGACUGACGCUGAAGCACGAAAGCGUGGGGAUCGAACAGGAUUAGAUACCCCAGUAGUC
rnacentral:rRNA from 1 species